rnacentral:rRNA from 1 species
GUGUCAGCAGCCGCGGUAAUACGAAGGGGGCUAGCGUUGCUCGGAAUUACUGGGCGUAAAGGGAGCGUAGGCGGACUGUUAAGUUAGGGGUGAAAGCCCAGGGCUCAACCUUGGAAUUGCCUUUGAUACUGGCAGUCUUGAGUACGGAAGAGGUAUGUGGAACUCCGAGUGUAGAGGUGAAAUUCGUAGAUAUUCGGAAGAACACCAGUGGCGAAGGCGACAUACUGGUCCGUUACUGACGCUGAGGCUCGAAAGCGUGGGGAGCAAACAGGAUUAGAUACCCGCGUAGUCC